UAAGGAAUAUUGCGCAAUGGAUGGAAGUCUGACGCAGCAACUCCGCGUGAUGGACGAAGGUCUUCGGAUUGUAAACAUCUUUUAUCUGUGAAGAAAAGUUAAAGAUUGACGGUAGCAGAUGAAUAAGCUCCGGCUAAAUAUGUGCCAGCAGCCGCGGUAAUACAUAUGGAGCGAGCGUUACUCGGAAUCACUGGGCGUAAAGGGUGCGUAGGCGGUUAUAUAAGUCGUAGUUUUAACUUUGGGGCUUAACCUCAAUUGUGAUUGGGAUACUGUAUGACUUGAAUACUUGAGGGGAAAAUGGAAUUUCCGGUGUAGCGGUGGAAUGCGUAGAUAUCGGGAAGAACACCGAUGGCGAAGGCAGUUUUCCGGCAAGAUAUUGACGCUGAAGCACGACAGCGAGGGGAGCAAACAGGAUUAGAUACCCUGGUAGUCCUCGCCGUAAACGAUGGACAUUAGUCGUUGGUUUGUAAGAAUCAGGGGCGUAGAAAACUUGUUAAAUGUCCCGCCU
rnacentral:rRNA from 1 species